rnacentral:rRNA from 1 species
GUGGGGUAAAGGCCCACCAAGGCGACGAUCCGUAGCGGGUCUGAGAGGAUGAUCCGCCACACUGGGACUGAGACACGGCCCAGACUCCUACGGGAGGCAGCAGUGGGGAAUUUUGGACAAUGGGGGCAACCCUGAUCCAGCCAUGCCGCGUGAGUGAAGAAGGCCUUCGGGUUGUAAAGCUCUUUCGGCCGGGAAGAAAUCGCACGGGAUAAUACCUCGUGUGGAUGACGGUACCGGAAUAAGAAGCACCGGCUAACUACGUGCCAGCAGCCGCGGUAAUACGUAGGGUGCGAGCGUUAAUCGGAAUUACUGGGCGUAAAGCGUGCGCAGGCGGCUUUGUAAGACAGGCGUGAAAUCCCCGGGCUCAACCUGGGAACUGCGCUUGUGACUGCAAAGCUCGAGUGUGGCAGAGGGGGGUAGAAUUCCACGUGUA